UUCUCUCUCUCUCUCUUCUUCUUCCGCCGUGCGCCGCAACCCCACAGUUUCCUUCUCCUCUUCUCUUCCGUUCGCAGCAGCCGCAACCCCACAGCUUCCUUCUUCUCUUCUCCUCUCCGUUCCGUCCAGAUCUGCACCGCAAGACCUUCAGCCGCUGCAACCGUCGGCCAGUUCGCGAGGCAGCCGUACGCGUCACCUUGCGGCCGCCGUCCAGAUCUGCACCGCAAGACCUUCCGCCGCUGCAGCCGUUGCUCUUCCGCCGCUGCCCGGUUCAGAUUUGCGUCGCCGUGCACAGCCUCACCGCCACCCUCUCUUUCUCCUUCGGAUCGAAACCGCCGCGCCCGUCCACCUGUAACUGCCGUUGCUCUUCCGCCGCUGC
rnacentral:lncRNA from 1 species